UACCUGGUUGAUCCUGCCAGUAGUCAUAUGCUUGUCUCAAAGAUUAAGCCAUGCAAGUCUAAGUACGAGCUCUCGUACAGUGAAACUGCGAAUGGCUCAUUAAAUCAGUUAUGGUUCAUUUGAUCGUACAGUUUACUUGGAUAACUGUGGUAAUUCUAGAGCUAAUACAUGCGAGAAGCGCCGACCUCGCGGGAGGCGUGCAUUUAUCAGACCAAAAACCGGCCGCGUCUUCGGGCGCGUUCGCCUUGGUGACUCUGGAUAACUUUGCGGAUCGCACGGUCUAGCACCGGCGACGGAUCAUUCAAGUGUCUGCCCUAU
rfam:Ciona savignyi cont_45745, whole genome shotgun sequence.